rnacentral:rRNA from 1 species
UACAGAGGGUGCGAGCGUUGUCCGGAAUCACUGGGCGUAAAGGCGCGUAGGUGGCGGCCCAAGUCCGUGGUGAAAGCUCGCCGCUUAACGGCGAGUCGGCCACGGAGACUGGGUGGCUCGAGCACUGUAGGGGCAGAUGGAAUUCCGGGUGUAGCGGUGGAAUGCGUAGAGAUCCGGAAGAACACCAGUGGCGAAGGCGGUCUGCUGGGCAGUUGCUGACACUGAGGCGCGACAGCGUGGGGAGCAACAGG